GACGAACGCUGGCGGCGUGCUUAACACAUGCAAGUCGAACGGUGACGGAGAGCUUGCUCUCCUGAUCAGUGGCGAACGGGUGAGUAACACGUGGGCAACCUGCCCAGACUUCGGGAUAACGCUUCGAAAGAGGUGCUAAUACCGAAUACGAACCUCCCUGGCAUCUGGGAGGUUGGAAAGUUUUUCGGUCUGGGAUGGGCCCGCGGCCUAUCAGCUUGUUGGUGAGGUAACGGCUCACCAAGGCGACGACGGGUAGCCGGCCUGAGAGGGCGACCGGCCACACUGGGACUGAGACACGGCCCAGACUCCUACGGGAGGCAGCAGUGGGGAAUAUUGCGCAAUGGGCGAAAGCCUGACGCAGCAACGCCGCAUGAGGGAUGACGGCCUUC
rnacentral:rRNA from 1 species